AAGUUUUAUAAGUCUAUUUUUCUACGUAAUUAUAAACAUCUGCAAUAUAGUUAUUAAGUAAUGUAUUUUUUGUUAUAUUUUCAACUAUAAAACUUUUCUAUUUCUAAGUGAAAGUAACUUUUAUAUUGUUUUUCUUUUAUAAAAAAAUUAUUAUACUAUACUUUUUGUAUAAUAUAAGUUUUAAUUAAUUUUUUAGUAUCACGCAUUUUUAACGAAG
rnacentral:lncRNA from 1 species